rnacentral:tRNA from 1 species
UCAGGAUGGCCGAGUGGUCUUACGGUCCAGACUCAAGUUCUGGUCUUCAUAAGAGGGCAUGGGUUCAAAUCCUACUGUUUUGAG